rnacentral:rRNA from 1 species
UACGUAGGGUGCGAGCGUUAAUCGGAAUUACUGGGCGUAAAGCGUGCGCAGGCGGUUUUGCAAGUCAGAUGUGAAAGCCCCGGGCUCAACCUGGGAACUGCGUUUGAAACUGCAAGGCUAGAGUAUGGGAGAGGGAGGUAGAAUUCCACGUGUAGCAGUGAAAUGCGUAGAGAUGUGGAGGAAUACCAAUGGCGAAGGCAGCCUCCUGGCCUAAUACUGACGCUCAUGCACGAAAGCGUGGGGAGCAAACAGC